rfam:Ovis aries breed Texel chromosome 2, whole genome shotgun sequence.
UCCCUGGUGGCUCAGAUGGUAAAGCAUCUGCCUGCAGUGCGGGAGACCUGGGUUCGAUCCCUGGGUUGGGAA